GUGAGUGCAACAGGAAGUGAGAAAAAAUGGAAAAAAGAAAGACUGAUUUUUUUGUGUGGAAACAAAUCUGGCACAUUGAAUUGAAACAUUGUUAUACCAAAUACGUCCUCCAUAGUUAUUUACCUGGUAAUACAGUAUCAGACAACAGCCAGUCUUUC